rnacentral:lncRNA from 1 species
CCGCCUCUGAGUUCCUAAUUUCCCAUUGGGCAUCAGUGACCACCUUCAAUUGGCAAGGUCAACUAUCCAUCAAACACCGCCCACUGAGUAAGACCCAACCCUUCAGUACCAUUUACUUCAUUCAGCACCGCCUCUGCCAUACCUCCCGGACGUAAGGGACCAACCCACCGUACCAGUCAUAAGUAGAGACCGACGUCAAUCAAAUAACGCCCACCUGCGCUCCUCCUCGCAAAGCACGAACUCUAGAGAUUCUCUUUUCUUAUUGGUCCAAAGGGUGGCCCGAGCCCUCAGUCAUUGGCUUCCUCUACCUGUCUGUCACUGAAGCAAUUUCCAAGUCCGUCACACCGGCUUUUUUUAAAUGAACGCGCAAAAGGCGGGGAAGUUUGUAUCCGAAAAGUGAUUGGCUAGUCUUCGAAACGGUCAAACCCAGGGCGUCUGUGCGGAUCUUUCUCGUUCUGCGAGGACCGUGACCCUUUAUUUUUGACCUCUAAGCCUGGCGUCAAACAAGCGCCAUAAAGGAGCCAACGGGCUGUCCAGUUAUAGGUGUGGGGGCCUAGUCCCACCCGGAAUUGCAGGGGGUUGGCUGCUGAAUGGCUAACAAAGUCCUGGUAGUCCUUCUAUUGGAGGAUAUAAACGCCUCUCUUCUGCACGGAGACGGGAAAGGAUGGCGCAGGCGAGGACAAGAAGCGGUCUGGGGAGAGGCGGUUGUUUUGCUUCAGCCUGAGGGUGGGGCGCACGCGGGAGAGGGAAACUCGGAGGGCAGGGCUCUGGGGGAGGUGUUGUGGGGAGGGGAAAAACCCGGAUGUUCUCUAACAAUGAAAUCAUCGCCGACCAAUCAGAGCUGCUGCGCGGGAUACCUGCUUGACCUGUCCCCAGAAGCGACGAGAAUGACAUAUGUUUGUGCCUGUUAUAUGCACAUCGCUGUACUCUCUCUGACAAGGAGCUUCAGUGUCAAACAUCAAGUAGUCUUAUUUGAGAAGACUGAUCUACUCCCUUCUUAAUCACUGGAAAUGCUCCGCUAAUAAAACUUUCUCCAUUUAAAAAAAA